CCGAGGGACAGGGUUAGGAACUAAUGUAUCGCUAUUUCACACAAACACAUAUUUCAUUCUUAUCUACUGUAACUGUAAAUGAUGAAAUGUUUUCGGCGUAAAUUCCAACCUCUCUUUUGUGUUUCAGUUCUCUCCUGAUUCUUAUUUUCUUGCAGGUUCAAGUUUGUUAAUAAUAAUAACAUCUUUGUUUCAGAAGGUUCUCAUUUACAAGAAAAGAACAAAUGAAACAAUGUCAAAAACUCUUUACAUAAAAAAGUCCUAAAUUUUAGAGGGUUCCAGUUGAAUUAAAUGAUCAUGUAGGUUUCAAAAGGCUUACGUUGGAGUUCUGCCAAAGAAUUGAAGAUUCCAUUCAAUCCUUCGAUUUCCUGGAUAUUUGUCAGUAAUCACAAAAAUAAUUAUUUUAUUGUCAAUCUUCAAAUGAAAUGUUUCCUUCUUUAAUAUUUAAGUGGUACAAUACAAUAUAUUUAUAAUUUGA